CGAGAGGAAUCUGCGGCCCAUCAGCUUGUUGGUGAGGUAAGAGCUUACCAAGGCUACGACGGGUAGGGGGUCUGAGAGGACGUCCCCCCACACUGGAACUGAAACACGGUCCAGACGCCUACGGGUGGCAGCAGGGAGGAAUAUUGGUCAAUGGGGGAAACCCCGAACCAGCAACGCCGCGUGAGGGAUGAAGGCCUUCGGGUCGUAAACCUCUUUUAAGGGAGACGAGAAAGGACGGUAUCCCUGGAAUAAGUCACGGCUAACUACGUGCCAGCAGCCGCGGUAAUACGUAGGUGACGAGCGUUAUCCGGAUUUACUGGGCGUAAAGCGCUUGUAGGUGGUCUUGUAAGUUGGGCGUGAAAACACCGGGCUUAACUCGGUGACGCCGUCCAAUACUGCGAGGCUGGAGGAUGUCAAAGGAAGGUGGAAUUCCUGGUGUAGUGGUGAAAUGCGUAGAUAUCAGGAGGAACACCCGUGGCGAAGCGGCCUUCUGGGGCAUUCCUGACACUGAGAAGCGAAAGCUAGGGGAGCAAACAGGAUUAGAAACCCUGGUAGUCCUAGCCGUAAACGAUGGAUGCUAGGUGUUGGCGGACUUAACCCUGCCAGUGCCGAAGCUAACGCGUUAAGCAUCCCGCCUGGGAAGUACGAUCGCAAGAUUAAAACUCAAACGGAAUUGACGGGGACCCGCACAAGCAGCGGAGCGUGUGGUUUAAUUCGAUGCUACACGAAGAACCUUACCCAGAUUUGACAUAUAGGUGGUAGUGAACCGAAAGGGGAACGACCCGCAAGGGAGCCUAUACAGGUGUUGCAUGGCUGUCGUCAGCUCGUGUCGUGAGAUGUUGGUUUAAGUACCCUAACGAGCGCAACCCUUACUGCCAGUUACAAGUGUCUGGCGGGACUGCC
rnacentral:rRNA from 1 species